GGUUAAGUUAGAAAGGGCGCACGGUGGAUGCCUUGGCACUAGGAGCCGAAGAAGGACGGGACUAACACCGAUAUGCUUUGGGGAGCUGUACGUAAGCGUUGAUCCAGAGAUUUCCGAAUGGGGGAACCCACUAUCUUUAGUCGGAUAGUAUCCUUACGUGAAUACAUAGCGUAAGGAAGGCAGACCCAGGGAACUGAAACAUCUAAGUACCUGGAGGAAGAGAAAGAAAAAUCGAUUUCCUGAGUAGCGGCGAGCGAAACGGAAAGAGCCCAAACCAAGAAGCUUGCUUCUUGGGGUUGUAGGACACUCUAUACGGAGUUACAAAAGAAAGUUAUAAAUGAAGCGGUCUGGAAAGGCCCGCCAAAGACGGUAACAGCCCGGUAGUUGAAAUGGCUUUCCCUCCAGAGUGGAUCCUGAGUACGGCGGAACACGUGAAAUUCCGUCGGAAUCCGGGAGGACCAUCUCCCAAGGCUAAAUACUCCCUAGUGACCGAUAGUGAACCAGUACCGUGAGGGAAAGGUGAAAAG
rnacentral:rRNA from 1 species